CCUACGGGAGGCAGCAGUGAGGAAUAUUGGUCAAUGGACGAGAGUCUGAACCAGCCAAGUAGCGUGAAGGAUGACUGCCCUAUGGGUUGUAAACUUCUUUUAUAUGGGAAUAAAAUGAUCCACGUGUGGGAUUUUGUAUGUACCAUAUGAAUAAGGAUCGGCUAACUCCGUGCCAGCAGCCGCGGUAAUACGGAGGAUCCGAGCGUUAUCCGGAUUUAUUGGGUUUAAAGGGAGCGUAGGUGGUUUGUUAAGUCAGUUGUGAAAGUUUGCGGCUCAACCGUAGAAUUGCAGUUGAAACUGGCAGUCUUGAGUACAGUAGAGGUGGGUGGAAUUCGUGGUGUAGCGGUGAAAUGCUUAGAUAUCACGAAGAACUCCGAUUGCGAAGGCAGUUCACUGGACUGCAACUGACACUGAGGCUCGAAAGUGUGGGUAUCAAACAGGAUUAGAUACCCCUGUAGUC
rnacentral:rRNA from 1 species